ensembl:lncRNA novel transcript, antisense to CADPS2
CGCAGCUUGCACAGAAGGUAUGGGAAUGGCAUUACUGCUUUAUUCUUUGCCUUGGUCUACACAGGAAUAAAGCAGAACUGUGAAAACUGCUUAACAUAUUCACAAUAAGCCUAUAAGAGGUGUAAUUACAUCUCCAUUUUACAGAAGAAGAAACUGGUGCCUAAGGUCACACUGAUAAUAGAUGAAGUGAUGGAGCAAGGAUUCAACCGCCAGCAGUUCGGUUCCUCAGCCUCUAAUGACUAUAUAUCAGAUGGAUAAUGAAAAAGUCCUGACGUUCAGGAGAUGGCUGAGGAGAAUGUUUGCCUGUGAACAAUGGGGAUACAGGCAAGGCAGAGCACAGCAAGGCACAAAGAUGAAGAUGGUCUGUUCAGUGGGCAAUGGCAGGGGACAGGGACUCCAGAGACUU